rnacentral:hammerhead_ribozyme from 1 species
AUCCAACUGACGAGUCCAAAAUAUGACGAAACGAGCAUCAUGCAU